rnacentral:rRNA from 1 species
GGAUCCAGACUUUGAUUAUGGCUCAGGAUGAACGCUAGCUACAGGCUUAGCACAUGCAAGUCGAGGGGAAACGACAUCGAAAGCUUGCUUUUGAUGGGCGUCGACCGGCGCACGGGUGAGUAACGCGUAUCCAACCUGCCCACCACUUGGGGAUAACCUUGCGAAAGUAAGACUAAUACCCAAUGAUAUCUCUAGAAGACAUCUGGAAGAGAUUAAAGAUUUAUCGGUGAUGGAUGGGGAUGCGUCUGAUUAGCUUGUUGGCGGGGUAACGGCCCACCAAGGCGACGAUCAGUAGGGGUUCUGAGAGGAAGGUCCCCCACAUUGGAACUGAGACACGGUCCAAACUCCUACGGGAGGCAGCAGUGAGGAAUAUUGGUCAAUGGGCGAGAGCCUGAACCAGCCAAGUAGCGUGCAGGAUGACGGCCCUAUGGGUUGUAAACUGCUUUUAUAAGGGAAUAAAGUGAGUCUCGUGAGACUUUUUGCAUGUACCUUAUGAAUAAGGACCGGCUAAUUCCGUGCCAGCAGCCGCGGUAAUACGGAAGGUCCGGGCGUUAUCCGGAUUUAUUGGGUUUAAAGGGAGCGUAGGCCGGAGAUUAAGCGUGUUGUGAAAUGUAGACGCUCAACGUCUGCACUGCAGCGCGAACUGGUUUCCUUGAGUACGCACAAAGUGGGCGGAAUUCGUGGUGUAGCGGUGAAAUGCUUAGAUAUCACGAAGAACUCCGAUUGCGAAGGCAGCUCACUGGAGCGCAACUGACGCUGAAGCUCGAAAGUGCGGGUAUCGAACAGGAUUAGAUACCCUGGUAGUCCGCACGGUAAACGAUGGAUGCCCGCUGUUGGUCUGAAUAGGUCAGCGGCCAAGCGAAAGCAUUAAGCAUCCCACCUGGGGAGUACGCCGGCA